rnacentral:tRNA from 1 species
GGGGUUGUGGCUCAGGGGUAGAGCGCUUGUCUCGCACACGUGAGACCCUGGGUCCAAUCCUCAGCACCACA